GUCCCUGUAGCGCAAUGCAUUGCGCGUUGGACUUCUAAUCCAAAGUUCAUGGAUUCGAGUCCCAUCUGAAAUU